GAUGAACGCUGGCGGCGUGCCUAAUACAUGCAAGUCGAGCGAACAGACGAGGAGCUUGCUCCUCUGACGUUAGCGGCGGACGGGUGAGUAACACGUGGAUAACCUACCUAUAAGACUGGGAUAACUUCGGGAAACCGGAGCUAAUACCGGAUAAUAUAUUGAACCGCAUGGUUCAAUAGUGAAAGACGGUUUUGCUGUCACUUAUAGAUGGAUCCGCGCCGCAUUAGCUAGUUGGUAAGGUAACGGCUUACCAAGGCAACGAUGCGUAGCCGACCUGAGAGGGGGCCAGCCCCCAGUGGACCGGACACCCGGCCCACACCCCUCCGGGGGCCGCCGGGAGGGAUUUUUCCGCAAGGGGGCAAAGCCUGACGGGGCCGCGCCGGGUGAGUUAUGAGGGUCUCGGGACCUUAAACCUUUUUUUUUGGGAAAAAAAAAAUGUGUAAUUAACUAUGCCCUUCUGGCGGUCCCCUAAUAGAAAGCCCCCGCCCACCUCCGUC
rnacentral:rRNA from 1 species